CUGAAAGGUUGCCGACCCCUGUCCUAUACUCACAAACAGAUGUAGAAAGGGCACACUCAGGGGCAAUGCUCCAUCAAUGAAACUUAAUCAUGACUUGGAGGGGCCUCUUCUAGCAGUAAGAGACUAUUCACUCUCUAUGCCCCUUCAAUCCUUGGCCUCU
rnacentral:sRNA from 1 species